rnacentral:rRNA from 1 species
UACGGGGGGAGCAAGCGUUGUUCGGAUUUACUGGGCGUAAAGGGCGCUUAGGCGGCCACCGCAAGUCGGUUGUGAAAUCUCCGGGCUUAACCCGGAAAGGUCAAUCGAUACUGCGGGGCUAGAGUGCAGAAGGGGCAACUGGAAUUCUCGGUGUAGCGGUGAAAUGCGUAGAUAUCGAGAGGAACACCUGCGGCGAAGGCGGGUUGCUGGGCUGACACUGACGCUGAAGCGCGAAAGCGUGGGGAGCAAACAGG